rnacentral:lncRNA from 1 species
AAGGGAGCCUUUAAGGUGGUGCUAUGUAAAAAUAGGAUCUCGACAUAUCGUCAAUUUGUUCCUAAGGUUCAGAAGAGAAUAAUAAAGCAGUUUCACCACAUAUAUAAAUAGCUCGAGUUCCAAUACUGCAAAAGUGGGUUUGGCUGUUGUAUACUCUAUUAUUUCCCGAUUGAUGUGUUGAUCCUUUCCAAAGUAUAAGGCUUCGUUACCAGAGAAUCAAUCUUGUAGAAGUUCCCGGUUAAAGAGGCUUCAUAUUUGAUCCUCUGUUUCACUGACUUUGUUUCCACAUCACACAUAAAAGAUGCAUCUAAUAGGGUCUCUCAAACAAAACUUACCUAUAGACUGACCCACAAGAGGCUUCAAGAGAAGCAUCCACAUUUGCACAUCACACCUUAGGAAGGAGGGGCUGAUAGGUUGCUUUAGUGGAUGAAAAUGUUCUUCUUCGGCCACCAAGCUUCAAUCUUUCUCCAUGUGGAGCCUCUUUGGUUUGUCUACAAGCAGCCGCUACUCCUCCGCGAUGAGAUGAAAUCGUUUUCUUGAUGAUCCCAUAGAUUUGAAAUCGGGGGUUUUUCAAAUUGAGGCAAAAAAUAGUGAUCAUAAUGCGAGAAAGGAUUUCUGAAAGGUUUGAAUUUCAGUGUAUGUAAUUGUAUAUAGCUAGAAAAAUUUAAUUCUAGUGCAUGACUGCUUUAUUAGAGGAAAUGUUGUUUUUUAUGCAAUCAAUAUCCUCAAUUUGUUUUAUGAAUGAUUCAUAUCCGACAUAGAAAAUGAUAUUUAGUAUGUACGUUUGCUUAUGGGUUCAACAGCUAGCUGACAAUUCCUUUUGCAUUUGCAGCUAGCUAGCAACUUUUUUGAGCCAAAGAUUGAGCGGUAAUCAAUCAAAGCUGAAAGAUAUAACCUAGGAAAGAAACAUAAAAGACAUCAAGGUUUGUUUUUUAUGGCCUCAGUCAUAUCCAUCUUGCAAAUGAGGGUCGCAUACAUGCAUAUAUAGUAAAUAGUUAGGAUAUGAAAGUGGAAGAUUUGGUGGGCGACUCUGUCCAUCCUCCGCCGGGAUAUCCUCCAUUUCCCCAGGCGGGUUAUCCUCUUCAUCCCCAGGUGGGUUAUCAAAGUUAUCCUCCCCAUCCCCAAGCGAGUUAUCCUCUCCAUCCCUAUGUGGGUUAUCCUCCCCAUCUUCAGGCGGCGUUUGCACAGCAGCAUCCUGAACCGACGGUGGCAGCUCCGGCGCCUUGUGACCUAAGAAGAAAAAACGUAAAUAUUUCAAUAUGGGGAAGGGUUUUAAUUUACGUAGACGAGGCGAACUAUACCUAUUGUCACACCUAUGAAGAGUGGAGGAAUGUCUUUAAGUGAGUUUUGAAAUGUUGUUUAAGGCCUGUUAAAUAAGACAUGUGAGGAUUUAUGUCUCAUUACCAGAAAUUUAUUGUGAUUGUUAUUUUUAUAUUUUUAUGUAAAAGCCAUACGGCAAAUUCAUUAAUACUCAAACUAAAAUGACACAGAUACAUGUUUUCCCUUUCCAAACGUUUGGGCAAAUUAAGAUGUGGCAUGGUAGCACCAUUCAUUACAAAUAUUUCAUUCACUUAUUUCUAAACAAAGAAAUACUGAAGUACUAAAACUUAGGAUAAUCACACAUCCUAAACAAGGAUUUACUGUAAAUAGACUAGCUAAAUACUUUGAAUUGGGUUAAAGAAAAACCCUAGCCCAACUUAGAACCCAAAACAGCUGUCAGACAAGAGUCCAGCUCAAGACCCAUUCAGAAAAGGCCCACUCGCUGAUCCAACGCCAUUGCACUGUACAGUAUCGCCGGAGCUCCCGUCCCAACUUCGAUCUCUGCCGAUCCACGCCCUAUUGUGAUUGUUAUUAGACAUUCCUAGACUGGUUUUAAGGUUUUAUGAUUUGGUUCAUACCAAUAACUUAUUUGAACAAUUUAUGGUUUGUGUUGAUUUAUGUAUAUUGAUUUCAUUUGAAUUUAAAAAAAAAUAGUUAGGUUAUGAGCACAUAUGUGACUGUAAUACACUUAAACUAAUAAAUAGUUGAAUGAAUAUGAUAUCUCAUUUAUUGGAUUUUAUUUACAGUACAUGAAGGAAACAUAUAAAGACUUGGAGGAUUUAGAAUUUACAGUAUGAUAAAUGGUUUGGAGUGUUGAGUAUCAAGAAUGACGUACACUUUUUGUUGCAAACAUGUCUCUAAUGACCGGCUGAGCACUAAUCUGAUCAUUUUUGAAACUCUUAAAAGUAGAAGUACUUUUUCUUUCUUUCGCAAAAAAAAAAAAAAAAAAAAAAAAAAAAAAAACUUAGCUAUAACAGUUAGUAAUUAAUGAUGUUCUGAGCAAUGCUCAAAUGCAUGUACUAGAACGAUUGUUUUGGAUGAACUCCCUUUUCAAGUUUUUUGAGAUUGUCGGAUGAAGAUACUUCUACAUGGUUGUUUCUCCUAAAUACAUAUCAUUAUCUCGAACAAUCAUUGCUAAGAUUUAAAAAAUACUAAUUUAAUAUAAGUUUUUUUUUUCUUUUGGAAGAUAUAUAGUUAAAGUUUUUUGUAUGCUACUUGUAAACACAAAUAUAAUUUUUCUUACUACAACUUUUCAUCUAAAAUGUCAACUACUAUAUCAUACUUACAGUGACUGAUAAGAACAUUUUAUGCAUCGUUUAUAUUGUUAAUAUUUUUAGUUCUCUUUAUAUUCUUUUUAUUUGUUUAUUUGUGUGUUUAUAGGUAUUCUGAAACAAAUAUGAGAAAAGAGAUAACUAAGGGAAAAGUUUGAAGUCUUGGCCCAAGUAAGAGGCAUUUUUUUAUUAUAAAAAAUAAUAUGUUCGAUGUUAUCCCGACUAUUGAGCUUUCUGUCACAAAUGAGACACAUAUCUCGUAGACAAUAUCACUAAAAAACGUGACCGCACGUUGUUGUUACCGAUGCAAUAAACGACAUCCACUCCUAACAUGCCAAGGAUACCACACAGUUAGUAAACUGAAAUCUAAUCUUAUUACUCAAAUAUAUUAACUGUUUAUUGACCAUGUCAUUUAUAUACAGCCUAACCAAAUGCUUCAUUAUUUGUCUCAUAGAACAAAGAGAAAACACUCUAAAUCUAUGAAUCAUCUUUCGAAUACACGAUUCACAAAACACAUGGCCUUAACUCGUGGCAGUAGGCUUGAAGCAAUAGUUGAGGUAGAUUUCACAUAACUGCAUACAUAACAUACUGCAUUAAAAACAUAAUAAUAACAAAAGUAAAACCAACUAAAACCAUGAAUGCAUUUGAGGCAUAACAUAUCUUGUAUACUCAUCAAAAAGAAAAUAAUCAAAGGAGAGAUGGAGGAGCGGUUUUUGACCAGUGCUAAGGUGAAAGAAAUUAUGCAGAAACCUAUCGGGAAGAACGUGUUGCGCCAUUCUAUGGAUGUGGCAUUCCGGUGUUAUAACUACUUUUAAAAAUUUAACACUUUGAAAUUUUUCUGAGGACUUUAUAGAAAUAGGCCAUUAAUAUACGAUUGUCAAUGUCAAUCAAAUUUAAAUGGUUGCUGGCUAACUUGCAGAACAAAAUUAUGACUUACCGAUUCUAUAA